rnacentral:rRNA from 1 species
UACGAAGGGUGCUAGCGUUGUUCGGAAUUACUGGGCGUAAAGCGCGCGUAGGCGGCUCCGCAAGUCAGAGGUGAAAUCCUUGGGCUCAACCCAAGAAUUGCCUUUGAAACUGCAGAGCUAGAGUGUCGGAGGGGAUAGCGGAAUUCCUAAUGUAGAGGUGAAAUUCGUAGAUAUUAGGAGGAACACCGGUGGCGAAGGCGGCUAUCUGGACGACAACUGACGCUGAGGCGCGAAAGCACGGGGAUCAAACAGG